rnacentral:misc_RNA from 1 species
GCUGAUAUUCUUCUGAAAAUAUUCUAUUUAAACAUUCCACCAUGCCCAUACUAUUUACAUAGACAAAACCCAAGUUUUUACUUCUCUCCAAAAUGAGACCUUAUCUAGACAAAUCUGCUUGCAGAAUACAGGCUGGAUUUCAAAAUAAUAAUCUACUUGCAUGCCAUUCUACCCCCUAAGCACCAGGAAAUAUCACCCCUUGUGAUGAAACCUAACCUUCAACAAGAACUGCAUCUCAUUCUAACCCCUCGGCACUAGGAAACAUCACCUCUUAUGAUGAAACCUAACCUUCAACAAGAACUGCAUCUUAACUUGAGCUGUAUUAUAGACAAUGUACUCAUUAUACAUCAGCUCAGAGACCUUGACUUUUGAUGGCACUGGUUUACCACAAGGAACAAUGACAUCAUCGCUCCACUUCACAAAUUCCGACUCCUGAGGUACUUUCUUGCCAAGUCCUUUUGUUGAAUGCUUUCCUUCAGGAGGUU